UUUAGGAAUAGUACCUGCUUCACUGCAGUGUUCAUGGGCAGGAGAAACAGAUACAUCCUUUGCAGGUGCAUUGUCAUUUGUGGGGCUUUCUUGGCAUGAAACAUGAGAGGUUGGAGUCCCAGCACUCUCUUCCCUAGAGACAUUUCCUGCUUUGGAUCUGCUUGAGCAUCAUCCAAUUUCUGGGGAAAAACCAUUUUGCAGGACCACUUUCUCAUGACUUAAUAGUCUACCUCCUAGCAAUUGAUCU
rnacentral:misc_RNA from 1 species